ACAGACCUUGUCCUCCUGCCAGCCAAACAAAACAAGUAUCUAAGCUAAGCGUAACAAUGGCUGUACUUUACUUUAAUGGCCUCUUUAGUUUAUCGUGCCAUCUGAUACAUUCUGUGCGAGUUCAGCACGGAUGUCCAUUCAUUGGACCAUCACGCGGUCCAUCUCAAGAGCAGCAAUGUUCAUGCCCUUGGCUGCCACAGUGCAGCAGUGUGCCCACUAGCAUCUGCAUCACCACAUCCAGCACUGACCUUCAGGACAAAAGCAGAACCUACUUCUCAGCACUCAAGCUCUCAGGCGAAAUUCUGGAAGACCGAGUCAAUAUAAAAGAUCAGCAGCCAAAGUACUCUUCUCCAUGACAUUUUCUCAGAAUACAGCCUUCAAGAUUUAUAUCACUUCGUCUCUCAAGGAAGAAGGGGAGACAAGACAGUGACUCAAUACAUCUUGCUUAUCCUCAUUACUCCAGCCUUGCCUUUGGUGAUCAUUAGAAAGAAUUGGAGAUGUUUGCUCAACUUGCUCAGGCUGGAGCAUAUUAAGUAAUAGCCCCUGUCAGCCCUCUGUUGUUUUUGUAAUUCAGUCAUGAAUCAAGGGGACUCCAGAUCUUACUAACAGAACCAUUACAAACGCAUUUUCCCUCUUCCCUUUUAAUUUCUGCUUCCAUUAAAAGGGAAAGAAGGGAAAUUUUCUGAUUAAAAUGCGAAAGUUUAUAUAAUUACAAUGCAAGGAUGAAGCUCAGUGGUGUAUGUAUGUGUGUGG
rnacentral:sRNA from 1 species